rnacentral:rRNA from 1 species
UACGUAGGAUGCAAGCGUUGUCCGGAAUUAUUGGGCGUAAAGAGCGCGCAGGCGGUAUGACAAGUCAGAUGUGAAAGAGGCCGGCUUAACCGGCAAGGGUCAUUUGAAACUGUCAGACUAGAGUGCAGCAGAGGAUAGUGGAAUUCCCGGUGUAGUGGUGAAAUGCGUAGAUAUCGGGAGGAACACCAGUGGCGAAGGCGACUUACUGGACACAUAUUGACGCUGAGGUGCGAAAGCGUGGGGAGCAAACAGG